rnacentral:rRNA from 1 species
CAGAUGUGAAAUCCCCGGGCUCAACCUGGGAACUGCAUCUGAUACUGGCAAGCUUGAGUCUCGUAGAGGGGGGUAGAAUUCCAGGUGUAGCGGUGAAAUGCGUAGAGAUCUGGAGGAAUACCGGUGGCGAAGGCGGCCCCCUGGACGAAGACUGACGCUCAGGUGCGAAAGCGUGGGGAGCAAACAGGAUUAGAUACCCUGGUAGUCCACGCCGUAAACGAUGUCGACUUGGAGGUUGUGCCCUUGAGGCGUGGCUUCCGGAGCUAACGCGUUAAGUCGACCGCCUGGGGAGU